UACGUAGGGUGCAAGCGUUAAUCGGAAUUACUGGGCGUAAAGCGUGCGCAGGCGGUUUCGUAAGUCUGUCGUGAAAGCCCCGGGCUCAACCUGGGAAUGGCGGUGGAUACUGGCGGACUAGAGUGCGGUAGAGGGUGGUGGAAUUCCCGGUGUAGCAGUGAAAUGCGUAGAGAUCGGGAGGAACAUCUGUGGCGAAGGCGGCCACCUGGACCAGCACUGACACUGAGGCACGAAAGCGUGGGUAGCAAACAGG
rnacentral:rRNA from 1 species